rnacentral:rRNA from 1 species
GUGGGGAAUAUUGCGCAAUGGGGGAAACCCUGACGCAGCGACGCCGCGUGAGUGAUGAAGGCCUUCGGGUCGUAAAGCUCUGUUGCAGGGGAAUAAAAAAAUGAAGGUACCCUGUGAGGAAGGAUCGGCUAACUUCGUGCCAGCAGCCGCGGUAAGACGAGGGAUCCUAGCGUUGCUCGGAAUCAUUGGGCGUAAAGAGGGCGUAGGUGGCUUGGUAAGUCAGGUGUGAAAGCCCAGGGCUCAACCCUGGAAGUGCAUUUGAUACUGCUGAGCUUGAGUGUCGGAGAGGUUACCGGAAUACCUGGUGUAGUGGUGAAAUACGUAGAUAUCAGGUGGAACACCGGAGGCGAAGGCGGGUAACUGGACGAACACUGACACUGAGGCCCGAAAGCGUGGGGAUCAAACAGGAUUAGAAACCCGUGUAGUCC